CCUACGGGAGGCAGCAGUGGGGGAUAUUGCACAAUGGGGGAAACCCUGAUGCAGCGACGCCGCGUGUGGGAAGACGGUCCUCUGGAUUGUAAACCACUGUCCCCAGGGACGAAGAUGACGGUACCUGGGGAGGAAGCUCCGGCUAACUACGUGCCAGCAGCCGCGGUAAUACGUAGGGAGCGAGCGUUGCCCGGAAUUACUGGGUGGAAAGGGAGCGUAGGCGGGACUGCAAGUUGGGUGUAAAAUCUACCGGCUCAACCGGUAGCCGCACUUAAAACUGCAGUUCUUGAGUGAAGUAGAGGCAGGCGGAAUUCCUAGUGUAGCGGUGAAAUGCGUAGAUAUUAGGAGGAACACCAGUGGCGAAGGCGGCCUGCUGGGCUUUUACUGACGCUGAGGCUCGAAAGUGUGGGGAGCAAACAGGAUUAGAUACCCCAGUAGUC
rnacentral:rRNA from 1 species